rnacentral:misc_RNA from 1 species
AACAUCGCGCACCUGCGGGAACCUGCGGAGGGAUCAUUACAGAGUUGCAAAACUCCCUAAACCAUUGUGAACGUUACCCAAACCGUUGCUUCGGCGGGCGGCCCGGGUCCUUCCCGGCGCCCCUCGGCCCUCGCGGGCGCCCGCCGGAGGUAAACCAAACUAUUGCAUUGUAUGGCCUCUCUGAGUCUUCUGUACUGAAUAAGUCAAAACUUUCAACAACGGAUCUCAGAUCGGAAGAGC